rnacentral:rRNA from 1 species
UACGGAGGGGGCGAGCGUUAUUCGGAAUUAUUGGGCGUAAAGGGCGCGUAGGCGGCCUGACAAGUGGAAGGUGAAAUCCCUCGGCUUAACCGAGGAACUGCCCUCAAACUGUUUGGCUUGGAGACCGGGGAGAGGUGAGUGGAAUUCCCAGUGUAGCGGUGAAAUGCGUAGAUAGUUGGGAGGAACACCAGUGGCGAAGGCGGCUCACUGGACCGGCUACUGACGCUGAGGCGCGAAAGCUAGGGUAGCGAACGGG